rnacentral:misc_RNA from 1 species
GUAUUAUAUUUUUUCAUAGGCAUCAAAGCCCAUUCCAAAUUUUACAUUCUAGUCCAUACAAUAGUGUUUGUAACAUAGGCCUGGGCUUGUUGUCACCAACAAUCCCAAGUCUACAAAAAGUUCACAGGUGGAGAAAUGGUUUCAACAAGGGUGCACAUACUCCUAAGAGUCAGCAAACACCUUGAUAGAAAUUCAAUAAUGAUCCUUCCGCAGGUUCACCUACGGAAA